AAAAGUAGGGGUCUGGGUCUCCGUGGGGAGGGGAAAUGGGAAUGCAGAGGGGCGACAGGCGAUCUGGGGCAGGAGCGGUCAGAGCGGGCGUGGUGCACAGGGGGACGCGCUCUGGCCGCUUUGAGAAAAAGCGAGAAGGGCAGUGGGCCGGACUGAGCUAUGGCAGGGUCACUGGGGCUGAGGGGACAGGUGGCCUCGGGGGGUGAGCACGUUGGGAUUUUCUUCUGAAUGAGGCAGAGUCUAUGGGAGGGUUCCCAGCAGGGAGGGCGGCAUGCUUUCUGUUGCAAAGAUCACUGUGACCACUGGCAAUAGACAGGCCACCCCGGGGCCUGUUGCGUAGAUCAGGGGCGAGCUGAUGGAAGCGUGGACGAGGGUGGGAGCCCCCACCGAGGUGGGAGACGUGGACACCAUGGGCUGUCCUGAGGGUGGAGCCAGCAGGUCUGCAGAAGGACCGGAUGAGCCCAGCCAGGGUCGGGAGUGGGAAGUGGGGGAGGGCACGGCCCAGAGCUUCUAAACGUGCGAUCGUGGUCGAGUAGGUUUUAGAGCAAAUCAGUGGGUAGCCAGGGAACUUUAGAGGAGGUGCUGUGACCUGGAGGGCCAGGUGGGAUGGAGGCAGAGGUAACCGGAAGCGAGGAGGUCACCAGGCCGACGCGGGGGAGCCGUGUACAGCGCCAGCGUGUGGUCACUCCCAGGAAGGAAGCCAGGAGGUGUUCAUGGGGGAAGGUGGGGACUCAGAAGCUGUCGAGGGGGCCCGGGUUGUUUGGGAGAAGGUGGGUGAGGGCCUUCAGUGGCGUUCUUCUUGGGAUUGCUUUCUCGGGUGCUUCGUCAGGGUGAGAUGGGGAGCAGAGGGGCGGGGCAGGGAGUGGGGGGUCCUCUGGGACGGUGAAGGGCUUGGCGACUCUCCCUCAGCGCUUCCUGCGGCUGCCCCGGGUCCCAGCCGAGCAGACCCUUUGGGAGCACCCUACGGUGCUCUCUCUGGAGCUCCGCCCGGGCAGUGGACCCCACGUGUCGCCAAGGCACUCGGCUAGUGCCCUAGUGCGCUUGGCGGAUACCUCGAGUGUGCUCUGUUGAGAAGUCCAAGGUCCCUGUUCAGAAACCCUUGGGUCCACGCACACGUGGAGGACUCCUGUGACAAGUGGCCUCCCUCUUCUCGUUUCUAAACCCUGCCCCUGAGGGCUCAGGAACACGAUUUCAAAGCCAGCGAAGGGGUCGGUCAGCUCCACUCCAGGAGAGGUGAGUGAACGGCCCCCAAACUCCUGUGUGUUCUCAGGACGCAACUGACCGUGUCACUAACACUGUCCAAUCUGCCCACAGGACGGCGGCUGGAGGCCACGCCCUCCAGAGAAGCGGAAGGGGACCCCUGUCUGUCUUGUCUCUGCUUUUCUGUGGUACUUGAAGAGAAGUUGUUCGUGGUGGAUUCGCUUUACUUAUGACGAAUCAUUCACGGACAACACUUUUUUCAGUACCAAAUGCUACCUCUAAGGACACUGGACACGGUGGCAGCUUCACAGAGGACAUUUUCAUGUUGUCAGCCGUGUGGAGAAGACGAGACUGGAUGGUCGGCCAGGGACACCAGGCUUGACCUAGCUGUAAGUCGUCUGGUCCACUAAGCUGAGCACCCGACCCGCCUGUAGGAGGCGCUCCCCGGGCCAUGCCAACUCAGGGGAAAUGGCUGUGGUUCUGUCAACAGAGUCACCUCACAAGACUUUGAAGAGAGGCGUCCUGGGCCCAAGGCCAGCUGCAAGAAGAGAUGCUGGUGUCAGCACCGUGCAGGGUGUGUGACUGGCUGACCAGAGGUGCAAGCACUCUGUUCCCCCCGUGGGCCACCUAGUCACCACCCCUCAGCACCCACCCCACCCAGCCAGGAAGACUCUGUGGAGGUCCCGCCACCUUUGGGCAAGCGACAGUGGACUUGUGGCAGUGGCUGCUUGGUGGACAUGGAUGACGGUGGUCGGGAGGGUGUGUUUACUUAAAAUGUGAUGAGUCAUCCCUGGCAGCCCCUUCAUCACUGUCACCGUCACAGCCUCCUCGAAGCGCUCCUGGGACACGACAUCGCCUUCCGACGAGGGACCCGAAGACCCGAAGCCAGCGAGCCGGCUCCUCUCCAGGGAGGCCCCCGGAGGUGGCACCUGCUUUGGGAAGUGACCAUGGCUCUCCGGCCAGCACCGCUCCGUCCCAUGAGCGGGGAGGGGCUGCCACGACAGCUGACUUGGACAGCCGGCUGUCGAAUGGUGCCCCCUGGCCAGGAAGCCUCGCUGGACCGGCCCUGCCGAGGGGCUCCUGCGAGGGGCAGCCGCCUGCGGGAGCGACGAUGGAUUCUCAGCAGCUCUCACUUAUGGUACUUGGAGAGAGGCUGGCCGUGAUGAAUUCGAUUCAUCAAAGCGAGUCAUACACGGCUCUCCUCUCUUUGAGUGUCAAAUUCUGCCUCGGAGGGCUGGCUGAGCUGUGCUGUUCCCGAGGUAGGUGCCCAGCUGGCUGGGCCCUCAGCAAGCGCUUUCCUGAGGAUGCACGCUACUGCCGCACUAACCAGUGGCCAAGCUCGGGCGACCCCCUGGGGCACUACUAACCUUAGGACGAGCUGAAGGGGUGGCGGAGUGCCCUGACUUCUAAAACAUGAGCAGCGAAACACACAUGGCUGACUUCUUCUGCUAUCUGACUCAACCUUGAAGGGGCAUCUAGGGGCAUCUUUUUAUAGUCCGCUCUCAGGAUAUAGGGGAGAACGGGACAGGCCCCGCGUGACCCCUGGUUUACUAGCCUGCCGCAGCCCCGCGCCCUCCAGGGCACUCUCGGGGGCUUUACUAAGGAGGCUGCCAUUAACCUGGCCUUGCACAUGUGUGGUCUUUCAAGAGCUCUUGGCUUCGUCUUUACGACUCACACGCGCUGACUUCUUUGCAUUGCUGGGUGUCGCUUGCAUGGCCGGCCAAGUGCAGGAAGUGGCAUUGCUGGCCGCACUCAUCCCAGGUUGGUGAACCAGGGGUUGGCCGGAGAGCAUGGGUUUGACUUGGGGAUGGAGCCAGUUGGUCCCCUCAGCCUCAGUGUCCCAUCCGCCCUCAGAGGCCACUCCCAGGCUGCCCAGACUGCGUGGAUACGGGAUGCCGUGAGCACUGUCACCUCGUGGUGCCGGAGGGAGGUUGUCCGUGGUGAGUUCGCAUUGUUUAAUGAUGCCCAAUACACGGUCGAUCUCUUUUCGGUAUCGCAUCUCGCCAGGCGUCAUCUUGGAGCUGAUGCCAUUUUCGGGGAGGCCCCUCAUGUAGGUCCCGCGUCAGUGUAUGGGAACUUACAGUUGGCCCUGGAACUAAUAAUGGGCAGGUGUCACUAGUGCCCCUUGUCCCCAUUUGGCCUAGUUAGAGGGGCAUUGCCUGCUGCAGGGAAGAAGCACAAGAUGUAGGCUGAGACCCUAGCCGAUCGGGGGAGUAAGGGUAUCCGCCAUGCCUCUGGGAAUCUUUUAAAGGAAAAUGACCAAGAGUCCUUUUCUCUUUUCCUAUUAAAUCUGUCUUGGAGGGAGGAUUUCUUAGGCGUGUUGCCAAAGUCAGGGAAGGGGCGUGGUUUCAGCAUUUUUUUUCUGGGUGAAGUGCGCAAGCAGAUUCACUUCUGUUGGCCUGGAAGCCACAGCAAAUUCAAGGCCAGAGAUUGGUUAGUUCCGUUUUCAUAAUUUUGCAGGCGAAAUUAUGUUUCUUGUUUUUCUUCUUGAAAAGAAUAAUUAUUCUGCCUCAUUCUCAUAUUUAUUGGAAUGAAAAAUGCUUAUAAUAAAAACUCAAGCGAUGUGGAAAAAUGUAACUAAAAAGGGAGAAAAUGACCCAGAUCUUCGCGCACCCAGAAAUCACCACGAGGGUUUUAAAAAUUUCAAAGACCGGUCUGAAUAUGUAUGCAAAUAGAGAGGUAGACAGAGAAAAAUAUUUCACAAAUAUGGGAUCACAUCGUAUGUAAACUUAUUGAAAAUGUCAACUGUAAUUUUACUUGAAUUUAACGUAAAGAAUGAGCCAAAGACGAUGACAAGAACGGAUGAAUGUUCUUGCUCUGCCAUAAGUAUUAAUUCCUAAAAGAUCCCUAUAAAAUUAAGAAACAUUAUGUAAAACGUUAAGUGGUUUGGAUCAUAUAUAUAUAUAUUUUUUUAAUUGUUCCAUUUCGCUGUUCAUUCUGAAAUAUAAGAAAAAUCAGCAGACUCACACUUAGCCCCACCUCCUGCUUUAUUUUUACUUACACAAUUUAAUUCUUCCAUUAUAAAUAUUUGCAUUUUUUCCAUAACCACAAUUCUUGCAGGUGUUUAAUCAUGGUAUUGUAUUUAAAUGAAGUCAUUACUCACCACCGGUUUUUUUUUUUUUUUUUUCCGUUAAACUAAGCCUUCUCUAUUCCUGAGAUUUUUAUUUUAAUUCAUCUCUCAGUGGAUGGAUUUUAUCACUGUUUCUUCGAGACUGGCUCACAGACGCUACCACCUCAGUCCCCGUGCGUUUGAGAAUACCUGUCUCUUACUUUUAUACACAAGGGACAGCUUAGCUGGGUACAUAGUUCUCAGCCUGCUUUUUUUUUUUCUUCCUUAGAACCUUGUAAACACCGCUCACUGCCUUCGGCAUUUAGUAUCUCGCUAGCUUUUUGGUUGUGGCUUCUCCACAUAGCUCUUCCUUUUCUGGACUGUGUUAUCCAGUGGAUCUUCAGAGUCUUUGUUUGAAGGACUUUGAGGCAUAUUCUGUGAGGUUUUUCAUCUCCAAGAAUGUCUGACUAUUGCUCGUACACCCUUACUCAUCUCUUUUUUUUCAUGCUAUUCUAUUCAACUGUAUAAUUUCUAAUUCUUUUAAGUCUUUUUAGUCACUUUAAAGACGCUUAUUGUAUAACUUUGUCAGGUUGAGGGAUGCAACCGUUUCUCUUCUUGAGUCUGCUGAUUCAGUGCUUUUGUUCAGGGUUUUGUAACUAAAUGGUGGGUCAUUAUCAGCGGGGACCAGGCGUUUCUGUUCUAUCCCCUGUGUAAAAGAGCUCGACGUUAUGGUUCCGCGUUGGGUUCUCCCUGGCGCCCAGUGACUUUUACCAGCUGGGACCAGUUUUCCUACUCAUUCAUUGGCUUAAGGAUUCCCCACCUCAUGGCUGGUAUAAAACCUUCCACAUCAUUGUCCUGGAGUGUCGUUCCCUCCAGGAGAUCUUAUGCUUCCCGAAGCCAAGCCUGAGGGAAACGGACUCCCUUGUCAUUUCCGUGGGCCCGUAGAGUGUGGUGGCUCCCUUUCCAUUCCAGGUCCCCACAUCCCUUGGGCCCAAGGCCACAUCUCCAGUCGCAUUGUGACUUCAGACCCUUUGAGCCUCCAAUGAGGAGUCCCUUAGGUCUCUUGGUGACAGGUUGCAAACUUGUUGCUCUGAUUUAAAUUAUCUCUUUAUCAGCAGCCGAGGGUCCCCCAACCCAACUUUAUUUUUUCUGGCUGCACAUUUAUUUACCAAUUGGUUUUGGCUUUUAUCCGUCAUUUCUCUGCAUUUGUAGAGGAGAGGGUUCUCUGCUACAUCUUGGGCAGGAUCUAACUCAGUCACUACCUUUCUUUGCCAAUUUUUCUAAAUCAUAAUAUGCCUUCUUGAUUAGUAGACUCGGUCAUUGCUUUGUUUCGAGGCUGUCUUCUAUUCUUUCGAUGAGUACUUUUCUAUUCCACGUGUUGGUCUUUUCUUGGGUUAAAUGAUCAUUUAUUAUUUCAUUAUAUACUGGAAGAGGGAAAAAAUCUGUGAUCUGGCCCCACGCUGCCAUCUUUCGGUGGAAGUCUCUCUUUUGUCAUUCGGCAUCUGCACUUGUCUGCUUAAAAUGCAUCCCGUCCGGAGGUCCCCUUCUCAGUGACACCCCCCACCUCAGCGGACGCCUCUUUGCCUUGGAUGUGGAGUCAGGACCUUCUUCUUAGUACAUGAAUUUACCUUCAGCAAUGGGGAUUUAUCUGCUGACCAUGGAUCGGUCUGAAUAUUAACCCCAAGUGUGCGAUUUAUCCCCAGGGAGACUUCCUGGAGGCCGCGCCACCUUUGGAGAUGAGGCCGCAAUGCCGAGGCGAGGUCAGUACCACACCACGGGAUAAUAAGCUUUGCGUCUGACACUGUCAUUUUCUUUAUAAUCGAUAUUUGCAGAGUCCACCUCUUUAGAGUGAACUCCACCUUUGGAGGGCUUCCUGGACACAGGAAGAGAAGGUCACUGCCGUCAGCUUUGAUGCUAAUGUGAAAUGAGGGAAUGUUCCCUGCCGUGAUCAAAAUAAUGCGUUCUUAUGCAUGUGACCUCUCCACGCUAAACCCCCGGAAGUGCGUCUUAGAUACCCUGCCAAGCAUGGCAAAGGUAUUGACGCCUGGGCUGCUGCAGGGUCUGUAAUGGGACAGUUGAACAUGACUUUGUCUCAGCGUCUCCACUGAAUCUUGGUGUUCACUCUGUCCUUAAGGGAACUUUCCAGAGGAGGCCAGCUUUGGAGAAGAGGUGCUGUCACCGGGGCUGUGCUAACCUGUGGUACCUAAGAUAGGUUCUUUGGGUUGCCCUCAUUUUAUUUGUGAUGAAUCAUACACGGUGUGCUUUUUUUUCAGUACCAAAUCCUGCCUUGGUGGCUUCCUGGGGCCGAGUCCCACUUCAGGGAGGGGCCUUGGUGUCAGCUUCUCUCCAGGGUAAGUGGAGGGACUGUUGGCCACAGCUGACCACAAAGCAUGUGCUUUUCUGGUGCUGCGUGCCUGGCCCUAACCCUCUUUGUGUGACCCAUCCAGGAGUCAGUUGGUUCCUGGAGGUGGCGCCAGCGUCGGGCAAGAAGUGGAGCUUCGCUCAGCAGGGCCGCUUGCUGGUAUUUGAAGAGAGGUCUCCCAUGAUGCGUUCACUUUGUUUUUUGAUGAAUCAUACAUGGUUGACCUUUUUUUAAGUAUCAAAUCUGGCCUUAAAGUAUCGUGGGGCGAUGGCAGCUGCAGGAACUCGAGCUGGUAUCCGCACACGUGAAUGGACGGUUGAGCUGCGCAUGCGCACGGCCUCCCGCGUAUGUGUCACCGGUGCUCCCUCGCCUCAGUGUGAUGUCUCCCUGUAGGGUCACCGGUGGUCGUUUCACUGUAGACCCAUGACAUGACUGACAGGGGGGUCGUCCCUGCCUCUCUCUUCACGUGGAACAGAGAACACUCCGCACACAUUCGUCGAGGCGUUACCCUCCCCGAAUGGCGUCCUGGAAAGGGCGCUGAUUUGGAGGGACACUGGGGUCUAUACUUGACGGGGGGACGCGCCUGAAUGGGGCUGGACCACAGAGCCUGUGUUUUACUGACGGUGCGCGUUGCCAGCAUCCUCACUCUCGGUAUCCCGUCGUCCUUAGGCCUGCUGUCUGGGACAUGCCGGAAGCCAGCACCCUAGUCCGGUACUCGAAUGGAGGUUGUCCAUGGUGUGUUCAUUUUAUUUAUGAUGAGUAUUACAUGGCCAAUCUCCUUUCGGUACUAAAUUCUUCUUGGGAACACGUCACCGGGGGCGUUUCCGCCGGCGCCUGUCCACGGUAAGGAAUCAGACCAUGUACCCCACGAAAAGGGUUUCCUGGGGUACGGGUGUCACCCGGCCCAGGAUUCCUGGGAAGGACGCGGGCUUUUUAGGUGAGACCAUGGUUUUCUAGUCACAAUUACCUUCCCUUCCUUGCAGACUCCUUAGUGAACGAAGCAUGUUUGGUAAACUUCUUUUUAGGAGAAGUCAUCUUGCAGGCACAUUUUAGGGAAGGGGACUUUCGCGCCAAGCCAGUGGCCUGGGAUGGGAGGCACACACUGUAUUUAUGCAAUGGGUUACUGCCCCUCAAGUAUCCUCAGGGUGACCUCGGGGAAGCGUAGCCACCUCUGGGGAGGUGGGGGUGAUUGGGGGUCCUUGGCGAUGAGACUGGAAGGUGUCCGAAGACAGAUUUCCUUGGCAUGAUUCAUUUAUUCCUGGUGCAAUGUAAGAAUCAUUAAUAGCUGUCAUUGUUACCUCAUAUUUGCUAGCUGUGUAACCCCGGGCAAGCUACUUAAUCUGCCUCCUCUCUGUGCCUCGGUUUAUUCAUCUGUAAAAUGGGGUUGAAACCCACUCAUAAGAUAUAUGUGAAAACUCAGUGUAUACGUGAAGUGUUUAGACACCGCCUGGCACAUGGUGAAGUUUAAUGAGUGUUGGCCCUAAUGGUGGUCACUAUUUUGCUAUUGUCAUUGCAUCAGGUCUUCCUUUAGUGUCCCUUUGCCUGCUAGAAUGCAAGCUCCCUGAAGGCAGAGUCUUGGUCUGUGUUGUCUACUGGACAGUAGCUGUGCUGUUGAAUGAAUGAAUGAAGGGCAGGUUGACACGUCUUCAUCGAACACCCUCCUCGAGGCCUCCCAGAAGGAAGAGUGAGUGGAGAAUGGUGGGGACCCCGUGCUUUCCCAAUGACACGGUCCACUUGCCCUCGCGGCCCCGCCCACCCCAACAAGGAGUCGCUGGUCUUCUUGUCAGGAGCCCCACGGUUUCGGAGCUGGAUGGACCCUCUGUGGUGACAGCACUUAAGGAGAACAGUUAACAGCCAGUCCCUUCUCUGUGUCAAAUCCCAGCUCAGUCUGCCUGGAACAGAAUCCAGCCUCGGGUAGGACCUUGGUGUCGGUGCCUCUCUAGGGUAAGUGACCACACUGGCCCAAGCGUGGACCCGACUUGUGACGCUGUCCUCAUGGGCUCUCACCCACUACCCACACCUGACCAAAGCCGGCUCAAGGGACGAGCCCUGGUGCCAUUUGAGCUGUAGCAUAUGACCCUCUGUUAUGAUAGACGGUGUUCCACUCACACGCAGGGCAUUCCCGAGAUGCAGCGCCAGCCUCUCCAGAGCUGGGGGUGAGGGGGGAGACAGAGAGGGA